GGGAGUGCUCGAAAGAGAACCGUAACACAGGUGCUGCAUGGCUGUCGUCAGCUCGUGUCGUGAGAUGUUGGGUUAAGUCCCGCAACGAGCGCAACCCUUGUCAUUAGUUGCUACGAAAGGGCACUCUAAUGAGACUGCCGGUGACAAACCGGAGGAAGGUGGGGAUGACGUCAAGUCCUCAUGGCCCUUAUGGGUAGGGCUUCACACGUCAUACAAUGGUACAUACAGAGGGCCGCCAACCCGCGAGGGGGAGCUAAUCCCAGAAAGUGUAUCGUAGUCCGGAUUGUAGUCUGCAACUCGACUACAUGAAGUUGGAAUCGCUAGUAAUCGCGGAUCAGCAUGUCNCGGUGAAUACGUUCCCGGGUCUUGUACACACCGCCCGUCACACCAUGGGAGCGGGUUCUGCCA
rnacentral:rRNA from 1 species